AGUUAAAAAAAAUCACCGUUGGCUUUGGCAGCAGCCAUCCAUGGAAUUUCCCACCUACUGCCAGUGGGGUGUCAACUCAUUGCCCCGUCUCUCAUGUCAGGAGUUGAAAACUGGGCCCCAAUAAGA